AUGGUUAAGCUAAUAAGGGCGCACGGAGGAUGCCUAGGCGCCAGGAGCUGAAGAAGGACGCGGCGAACAGCGAAAUUGCCUCGGGGAGCCGUAAGCAGGCGUUGAUCCGGGGAUGUCCGAAUGGGGAA
rnacentral:rRNA from 1 species